rnacentral:lncRNA from 1 species
CAUGUAAAAGCUGCUCAAACACAUACAAAGGAAAGCAUACAAUUAUAGUCACCACAGAGCAUUUAAUAAUAAUAAGAUGCCUGAGAGAAAAUGUAGCUGGGAACCCACAUGGGAUUGACAGAAGGACAGGACACUUUGUCACUUGCUUUUUCAAUAAACAGAUCAGAUUCUCCUUUUUAACCACAUGCUCCUUGGCCACCUUCUGUGAGCAAACACAGGAUUUAUCGAAGAUCUGAGAAUGUUGCUAAUGUUGCUUGACCCCUGGUAGGACUAGAAUCCAUGACUUCCUUAGCCCAGCCCUCUAAUCAACCCUGCCCAUCCACCAGGUCUUGGGAAGCUGGGCAGAGAUGCCAUAAGCAAAGGACUGCUGGCUGAAGCACCAUGGGAAGCAUGGAUGCUCCUUCUCUGUGGCCAAAAUGGCAGAGCAGCCCUGAAAAAACUUUCUUGGCUGUGCUGUAGGCUUUACACAGGCUUGUUAUUAUUUUUUGAACCCUCUGAGAUUGACAGGGCAGGAAAUGGUAUCACGAUUUUCUCUUAA